rfam:Danio rerio chromosome 4, GRCz11 reference primary assembly.
GCUCAGCUAGUUCAGUAAGUAGAGCAUGAGACCCUUAAUCUCAGGGUCGUGGGUUCAAGCCCCACGUUGCGUG